UUUUAGUUUAUUUCUUUAAAAUUUUAAAUCAAUGUUUUUAGUCCUUUUAUUUUGUGAUUUUCAUUAUGUGUUUAUCAAAAGGUUAAGUAAUAAUUUUGGAGAAUCUACAACUGUCUAUGAUAUAUUAUCUAAAAAUAAUUAUCAGGCAUCAACUGUUUUUAGAUUUUAUUGGAUGAAAAUUAAUAUAUAUAUAUAUAUAUAUAUAUAUAUAUAUAUAUUAUAAGUCAUAUAUCUAUUUUUAUAAAUUUAAAAUAUAAUUUAUAUAAUUAAAUUUGAUUUAUAAGUCAUAUAUCUAUUUUUAUAAAUUUAAA
rnacentral:snoRNA from 1 species